rnacentral:rRNA from 1 species
AGUGAACGCUGGCGGUAGGCCUAACACAUGCAAGUCGAACGGCAGCACAGUAAGAGCUUGCUCUUACGGGUGGCGAGUGGCGGACGGGUGAGGAAUACAUCGGAAUCUACUUUUUCGUGGGGGAUAACGUAGGGAAACUUACGCUAAUACCGCAUACGACCUACGGGUGAAAGCAGGGGAUCUUCGGACCUUGCGCGAUUGAAUGAGCCGAUGUCGGAUUAGCUGGUUGGCGGGGUAAAGGCCCACCAAGGCGACGAUCCGUAGCUGGUCUGAGAGGAUGAUCAGCCACACUGGAACUGAGACACGGUCCAGACUCCUACGGGAGGCAGCAGUGGGGAAUAUUGGACAAUGGGCGCAAGCCUGAUCCAGCCAUACCGCGUGGGUGAAGAAGGCUUUCGGGUUGUAAAGCCCUUUUGUUGGGAAAGAAAAGCAGCAGGUUAAUACCCCGCUGUUCUGACGGUACCCAAAGAAUAAGCACCGGCUAACUUCGUG